rnacentral:rRNA from 1 species
GGGUUGUGAGGUUAAGCGACUAAGCGUACACGGUGGAUGCCCUGGCAGUCAGAGGCGAUGAAGGACGUGCUAAUCUGCGAUAAGCGUCGGUAAGGUGAUAUGAACCGUUAUAACCGGCGAUUUCCGAAUGGGGAAACCCAGUGUGAUUCGUCACACUAUCAUUAACUGAAUCCAUAGGUUAAUGAGGCGAACCGGGGGAACUGAAACAUCUAAGUACCCCGAGGAAAAGAAAUCAACCGAGAUUCCCCCAGUAGCGGCGAGCGAACGGGGAGCAGCCCAGAGCCUGAAUCAGUGUGUGUGUUAGUGGAAGCGUCUGGAAAGGCGCGCGAUACAGGGUGACAGCCCCGUACACAAAAAUGCACAUGCUGUGAGCUCGAUGAGUAGGGCGGGACACGUGGUAUCCUGUCUGAAUAUGGGGGGACCAUCCUCCAAGGCUAAAUACUCCUGACUGACCGAUAGUGAACCAGUACCGUGAGGGAAAGGCGAAAAGAACCCCGGCGAGGGGAGUGAAAAAGAACCUGAAACCGUGUACGUACAAGCAGUGGGAGCACGCUUAGGCGUGUGACUGCGUACCUUUUGUAUAAUGGGUCAGCGACUUAUAUUCUGUAGCAAGGUUAACCGAAUAGGGGAGCCGAAGGGAAACCGAGUCUUAACUGGGCGUUAAGUUGCAGGGUAUAGACCCGAAACCCGGUGAUCUAGCCAUGGGCAGGUUGAAGGUUGGGUAACACUAACUGGAGGACCGAACCGACUAAUGUUGAAAAAUUAGCGGAUGACUUGUGGCUGGGGGUGAAAGGCCAAUCAAACCGGGAGAUAGCUGGUUCUCCCCGAAAGCUAUUUAGGUAGCGCCUCGUGAAUUCAUCUCCGGGGGUAGAGCACUGUUUCGGCAAGGGGGUCAUCCCGACUUACCAACCCGAUGCAAACUGCGAAUACCGGAGAAUGUUAUCACGGGAGACACACGGCGGGUGCUAACGUCCGUCGUGAAGAGGGAAACAACCCAGACCGCCAGCUAAGGUCCCAAAGUCAUGGUUAAGUGGGAAACGAUGUGGGAAGGCCCAGACAGCCAGGAUGUUGGCUUAGAAGCAGCCAUCAUUUAAAGAAAGCGUAAUAGCUCACUGGUCGAGUCGGCCUGCGCGGAAGAUGUAACGGGGCUAAACCAUGCACCGAAGCUGCGGCAGCGACGCUGAUGCGUUGUUGGGUAGGGGAGCGUUCUGUAAGCCUGUGAAGGUGUGCUGUGAGGCAUGCUGGAGGUAUCAGAAGUGCGAAUGCUGACAUAAGUAACGAUAAAGCGGGUGAAAAGCCCGCUCGCCGGAAGACCAAGGGUUCCUGUCCAACGUUAAUCGGGGCAGGGUGAGUCGACCCCUAAGGCGAGGCCGAAAGGCGUAGUCGAUGGGAAACAGGUUAAUAUUCCUGUACUUGGUGUUACUGCGAAGGGGGGACGGAGAAGGCUAUGUUGGCCGGGCGACGGUUGUCCCGGUUUAAGCGUGUAGGCUGGUUUUCCAGGCAAAUCCGGAAAAUCAAGGCUGAGGCGUGAUGACGAGGCACUACGGUGCUGAAGCAACAAAUGCCCUGCUUCCAGGAAAAGCCUCUAAGCAUCAGGUAACAUCAAAUCGUACCCCAAACCGACACAGGUGGUCAGGUAGAGAAUACCAAGGCGCUUGAGAGAACUCGGGUGAAGGAACUAGGCAAAAUGGUGCCGUAACUUCGGGAGAAGGCACGCUGAUAUGUAGGUGAAGUCCCUCGCGGAUGGAGCUGAAAUCAGUCGAAGAUACCAGCUGGCUGCAACUGUUUAUUAAAAACACAGCACUGUGCAAACACGAAAGUGGACGUAUACGGUGUGACGCCUGCCCGGUGCCGGAAGGUUAAUUGAUGGGGUUAGCGCAAGCGAAGCUCUUGAUCGAAGCCCCGGUAAACGGCGGCCGUAACUAUAACGGUCCUAAGGUAGCGAAAUUCCUUGUCGGGUAAGUUCCGACCUGCACGAAUGGCGUAAUGAUGGCCAGGCUGUCUCCACCCGAGACUCAGUGAAAUUGAACUCGCUGUGAAGAUGCAGUGUACCCGCGGCAAGACGGAAAGACCCCGUGAACCUUUACUAUAGCUUGACACUGAACAUUGAGCCUUGAUGUGUAGGAUAGGUGGGAGGCUUUGAAGUGUGGACGCCAGUCUGCAUGGAGCCGACCUUGAAAUACCACCCUUUAAUGUUUGAUGUUCUAACGUUGACCCGUAAUCCGGGUUGCGGACAGUGUCUGGUGGGUAGUUUGACUGGGGCGGUCUCCUCCUAAAGAGUAACGGAGGAGCACGAAGGUUGGCUAAUCCUGGUCGGACAUCAGGAGGUUAGUGCAAUGGCAUAAGCCAGCUUGACUGCGAGCGUGACGGCGCGAGCAGGUGCGAAAGCAGGUCAUAGUGAUCCGGUGGUUCUGAAUGGAAGGGCCAUCGCUCAACGGAUAAAAGGUACUCCGGGGAUAACAGGCUGAUACCGCCCAAGAGUUCAUAUCGACGGCGGUGUUUGGCACCUCGAUGUCGGCUCAUCACAUCCUGGGGCUGAAGUAGGUCCCAAGGGUAUGGCUGUUCGCCAUUUAAAGUGGUACGCGAGCUGGGUUUAGAACGUCGUGAGACAGUUCGGUCCCUAUCUGCCGUGGGCGCUGGAGAACUGAGGGGGGCUGCUCCUAGUACGAGAGGACCGGAGUGGACGCAUCACUGGUGUUCGGGUUGUCAUGCCAAUGGCACUGCCCGGUAGCUAAAUGCGGAAGAGAUAAGUGCUGAAAGCAUCUAAGCACGAAACUUGCCCCGAGAUGAGUUCUCCCUGACUCCUUGAGAGUCCUGAAGGAACGUUGAAGACGACGACGUUGAUAGGCCGGGUGUGUAAGCGCAGCGAUGCGUUGAGCUAACCGGUACUAAUGAACCGUGAGGCUUAACCUUACAACGCCGAAGCUGUU